ensembl:lncRNA
AUUCUAACUUACUAGAGGUAAUCUCUGUGUCAACAUAGACUAGUCAUCAACCAAUAAGUUGAGCAAAGACUGUGCUCAAACACCUUGGGCUUUAACCAAUCCCUCUGCAGUCUUAUCUAUGUAUAGAUUGAGAAGAGAGUUCAUUCAAAGUUUAGGUAGUUCUCAAGUAUGCCUAGGAUUUUACUUUCCACAGAGCUCCCUUGGGUCCCCCUCUGCAUGUACAUAGUUUGCUAGUCAGCCAGAGAUAGAAGAGGAGCUAAUCUAGCCCUUCUGCAGCUCUGUUAUUUUCAAGAUCUCCUUAUUAAAUUUCUGCCAGGUCUGGCUGCCUGCCCCAGCUGUGAUUACAAAUUCAGACUAGCAAAAUUGUGAGUUUUACCUGUUUAUUUUCUAUCAAUUUAUCUUUUUAAACUGAUAAUGCUGUCAUGGCUUUUUGCUUCUGACCCUAAGUCUAGUCUUCUCCAUUGGCAGCAAAGCUACUAGUUUUUACAACUAGCUUCACCUUUUAAAAACUACUAUUCUCAGUAACUACCUGAAGGCCUGGGGGUGAGGAAGUGGGAAUGGACUCAGGCAAGAAGACCACAGACUCUUGAUGCUCUUACCUGAAGUUUUAAUUUUUAAAGAAUUAAUAAUUGUUUUUCAUGUUGUGUGUGUUUUUGGUAAUUUUACAGGGCCCUGAAAUGGUUUAUUUUUGACAAUUUUAUCUAGUUUACACUUGUUCAGUGAAGAGAGGAUUCAUAUACCUCUUCAUUCUGUCAUAAUCAGAUGUCCUGUCUGCAUGCUUGGAAAAUUUUUUUGGAUGCCAGACACUGUGAAUUUUAUACUGUUUCGAUGGAUUUUGUUCUAGUUUUUAACCUAAUGUUGGAUUUUGUUCUGAUGAACAGUUAAGUUACCUGGGAUCAUUUGGCUUAUUUGGGAGCUUGCUUUUAAGCAUUAUUAGAGCAUGUCCAGAGUAGCCUUUAAUCUAGAGCUAAUUCAGUGCUACUAUUAUGACUUUUUAAAAAAGUAAUCUACCCAAUGCCCCAUGUGUUAUGAUAUGAGGUCUUUCUACUCUGGCUGGUAGAAACACAAACUAUUCUCAAAUUUGUGAAUUGUUCUGCCUACCUUUUUCAGGUGGUUCCUUCCCUGGACUAGGGUAGAUUCUUUUUACAUUUACACAGAUCAGUACUUAGCCAGAGACUUGAUGGGAUCCCUCUAGACAUUUGAAUAUCUCUCUCUCUCUCCCCUCCUGUCUCCAUCUCCAUCUCCAUCUCUGUGCUUUUCACAAUUCUCCAGUACCAUACUCCACAAAUUCUAGCCACCCUAACCUCCCAUAGCUAGAUCUCUGUUUCUGCAGCUCAGAGAUCUAUUUGGUUAACCCCUCUUAGUGGUGAAAUAAUAUUUUGGUAUUAAUUGAUAUGCUUCCUCUCAUAAUUCUUGUUUAUUAACCUUUGGAUUUUCCCCCAUUCUUGAGAUACGGAUUGUCUUAGGGAUGGUUAUAUAGAAAAAUCGGAGAACCAGAGAGAAAGAUAUCCUUCUGAAUUUUAAAAUCUUAGGUCCAAGAAGACAAAAGCGUUUAGAAUAAUAUUUGAUUAGUCAAAAUCAGUUUGUGCCCCCUCCCUCCUUUCCACCUGAGAUUAGUCUAUGGAACUGGGGGAGAAAGGAGGAGUGUGCGAGAGGAAGUGAGGCAUUAUUUGAGUGGGGAUCCUGUGGGUAGUGAAGGAAGUGGAACCUUCCCCAGAUAGGUAUAGGGAUUUAGAAGAAGAGGCAGGCAAGGCUGUAUCUUUCUUCCAGGGAGGUCACAAGAUUUGUAGGAUUUUCCUGUCCUGAUGGGAUAGAAGUGCAGCUGAGAAGAGACCAAUUGAAUGACUGACAUCUCAAUAGAUACAAGUAUGGACAGAUGACAACUAAAGGCCAGAGUUCCUUUAUCUUGUCUUCCUCACCCAUCCUCCUCCACCCACCCUGAACCUCAAGGCAGCUCUAAGGAUAGGUUCAUGAAUUGACACACUAGGUUUCUACUCCUAUGUGGAAUAAGGCUCAUAAAAUAAACUGGUUAUUAAAAAAUAAAGUUUAUUUCUUUCUAUUUUUAGUUUGUAGUCUGAGAUUUAUUUCAGCUACAUAAAGAAAUGGUCAUCCUAAACAUGCAAGUUUCUUAUUUGUAGUUAGGCCGUGGGAUCUGAAACCAUCCUCUGGGCAGUCCAGUACUCCCAAGCAUGACCUUGGUAUUUUCCUGGACUACAGAAAUUAUUGCUGAAAUCUCACUAGUUGGACCUCUAGGAAGGAGGGGAAAGGAAGUGGAAGGAGUGGGUGGGGACGGGGGUAUAUGCUUACACUGCUCAAGUUGUAUUUUAAACUUUGGAUUCAAUGUUCUGAGGGUGACUCUGGCCUUUUUAGAGGGGAAGUUCUGAGCAGCACUGAAAGUUGAGGUACCUGCAAAGACAAUUCAGCUGUUGUUGCUAAGGAACAAGUGUGCUGAAACUGUGGUAUGAAUAUCACUAGCUCCUGCUCAGAAGGCAGAAAGUACAGGAAAGAUGUAAAAUCAUCAGAGGGGAGGAGACAAUUCAGUGUGAUAGGCCAGGGGUUAUUAUUUAAAAUGGUGACUUCUCUGAAAAAAAAAUGACAUCAUAUUUAAGGUUGUCUCAGUUGGUCAAUAAAGUAAAUAUGCCAGUCUCUGAAUAGUCUUCCUUUUUGAUGGAAGUGGAUAAAAAAGUGGGAAGAAAGAGAAGAGGAGGAAGGGAGCAGAAACCAUAGGAAUAAAGUCUCAUUAAAGGACAUUACACAGGAGAGGAGAGGUAAGACUUAGAACAAGCCUUUGGAAUUAGACUGAGGUUUGAGCGUCAGUUUUGCCACUAAAUGACCUUGGGCAAAUAUUUUUAAUCAUUCUAUGCUUUUGAAUUUCCUAUCUGUAAAAUGAGAUGUGUUGUGUGAAGACCUGAGGAAUUUUUCUAUUUUGGUCUCUCAAAGUUUAUUUCUAAAUCAGUUGUUCAUCAUUUUCAUUUUCAUUUCAGUCAUCAAAUGUGGUUGGCAGCAAAUGGGUUGGACCUAGUGGACUUGGUUUCUCUGUUUUCUUUCUUUUUUUUUGCUGUGACAGCAGCACGUAGAAGUUCCUAGGCCAGGGAUCGAACCUGCGCCACAGCAGUAUUACAACUCCAGACCCUUAAUCUGCUGGGCCACCAGACAACUCCAGUGACUUGCUUCUAAUGAAUAGAAUAUGGAAUAAAUACUGUGAUACACUUUCUAUAUGAGGUAUAAAAUGACCAAACUUCUUUCUUUGGUUCAUCUUCUUGCUCUCCCUCUUUCUCUCAGAUCACUUGCACUCAGAGAAGCAUACUGCCAUAUCGUGAGCCAACUCUGUGGACAGGCCUAUGUGGAGUUGUGAGGAACUGAGGCCCUCAGUGCAACAAUACAGAGAAACUAAAGUCUGUCAACAACCAAGUGAAUGAUCUCAGGAAGGAAUCUUUUAUGCCCAAUCAAGCCUUGAGGUAACUGCAGCCCCAGUAAAUAGCUUGGCUGUAAUCUCAUGAGAGACCUUACACUAGAGGCAUCUAGCUAAACAGCUCCCAGAUUCCUGACUCAUAGAACUGUGAGAUAAUAAAUGUUUGUAGUUUUCAGAAGCUUUGAAAUAAUUUGUUAUGCAGAAAUGUAUAACUAAUAUAUGGCUCAAAUCAAUCCCACAGUGGCCCCAGGGUAUACCCAAACCAACUUUGUGGUUAUUUUUCUAGUUCCAGAAUGUAUUAGAAUUAAUUCCAGAAUUGAUUAGAAUAGACAUAUCCAGAAACUGGUGGAGUCCUCAUAGUCAUUCUCUGACACAAGGAUGAGGGCUAUUAUGGUAGGAAAGACCAAGGGGAAGCCACUAGAAUUAUCUCUACCUACAAAAACCAUAAACCAAAUGCAAACUACUACAUUCAUGGAGGAAUUGGACAGGUUUUUGUUUUGUUUUGUUUUUUGCUUUUUAGGGGCGCACGGGCAGAUAUCAAAAUUCCCAGGUUAGUGGUCAAAUAGGAGCUGCAGCCGCUGGCCUAUACCACAGUCACAGCAACACGUGAUCCAAGACACAUUUGCAACCUACACUAUAGCUCAUGGCAAUGCUUGAUCCUUAGCCCACUGAGCAGGGCCAGGGAUAGAACCCACAUCCUCAUGGAUACUAGUUGGGUUCAUUUCUGCUGAGCCACAACGGGAACUCUCUGAUAGUAGUUGCUUUUCUAGAUGUUGUUUUGUUGUUGGAGCAAAUUAACAUAUCUCUGGCAUGUAGCUAUUGAUCUGGCAAAUGGUUUUUUAUAUUUGUACUUGUUGGUAAAGACCAUCAGAAGCAAUUGGCUUUCGUCUGGCAAAGCAGCAGUAUAUCUGCAUUGUCGUACCAUGGGAGUAUUUCAACUCU